GAUGAACGCUGGCGGCGUGCCUAAUACAUGCAAGUCGAGCGAACAGACGAGGAGCUUGCUCCUCUGACGUUAGCGGCGGACGGGUGGGUAACACGUGGAUAACCUACCUAUAAGACUGGGAUAACUUCGGGAAACCGGAUCUAAUACUGGAUAAUAUAUUGAACCGCAUGGUUCAAUAGUGAAAGACGGUUUUGCUGUCACUUAUAGAUGGAUCCGCGCCGCAUUAGCUAGUUGGUAAGGUAACGGCUUACCAAGGCUACGAUGCGUAGCCGACCUGAGAGGGUGAUCAGCCACACUGGAACUGAGACACGGUCCAGACUCCUACGGGAGGCAGCAGUGGGGAAUCUUGCGCAAUGGGCGAAAGCCUGACGGAGCAACGCCGCGUGAGUGAUGAAGGUCUUCGGAUCGUAAAGCUCUGUUAUUGGGGAAGAACAAAUGUGUAAGUAACUAUGCACGUCUUGACGGUACCUAAUCAGAAAGCCACGGCUAACUACGUG
rnacentral:rRNA from 1 species